AUGGAUGUAGCCCCGCCAAAGGCGGGGCACUUCGUUUGGCACGAAGGGCCCGCUGGUUCGAAUCCAAUCAUCC
rnacentral:tRNA from 1 species